UGGAACCUGAGCUUCAACCUAUACACAUUGCACACAGAUCAGCGUGUUCCCCCCGCCUCGCGCGAGUCUUACUUGGCGUAGGCCUUCUCCAGCAGGGCGCUCCAGAACUCGCGAGGCGUGGCCGAGCGGCAGAACAGCAGCGUCCCUUCCUCGCUGACCGGCAGACGGUCGUCCACCACCACGUCCGUCCAGCGGCCAAGACGCCAAAAGCGGAAGUGGAAGAUUCCGGCGUACAGGUCUGGACGCUUGGGGUUCCACUCCUGCUCCAGGUGGUCCGGAAUCACCUGACACGGUUUAUCCAUAGGAGACCAAAGACUGGUGUAAAUACAGAGAGGGCUCCGAGGCCAGACAGGAAGUGGCCGCGACCAUCCAGCAGUUACCCAGACUGCCCUGGUGCAGGUCCCGAGUGCUGAUGCCAUCCACAAACAGACGAGGGUCCUUACACAGUUCCUGGGGAGAGACAAGGAGAGAAAAAUAGAGGAUUUGAGCAAUUGAAGCCAGCACAGUACCUGCUCUGGAAGACCUGUAGGCUUCCCCUCGCUCUCCAAGCAGGAAGGAAUUCACAGAGCCCAGGCAACCGACACGGGCUCGCAAGCUGUCGCUCGCUUCAGUACUUGACAAGCAUUACUGUCCACCAGGUUCCUGUCAAAGGAGGUUGAUGUUGUUUUUAUACUUGCAAGUUCUUGAUUAAUCCACCUGGUUAAGAAGUUCUUUGAUUAAAA